rnacentral:miRNA from 1 species
GCGCUGGUUUUACUGAAGUUGUG